AUUAAUUUUGCAGUAUGAACAGGUCCCAGAGAAGCACUUUGGAGGGUGAGAGAUUUUUCCCACCUACUAAAGGUGCAGGUCAAGGGCAGGAGAUGUGAAGCUGGGAGAUCUUUGGAGUUGCGGAGUGAGAGCCAGGGAACUCAGCCAGAGUGGCCAUGCUAGCAGCUGCUGGUAUGCAACUGCCACCUGAAUGGUGUUAGCCUUCAUAGUGAAUUGGAAUUUCCCUUCAUUCUAUAAAAGUUAUUUAUUGACUGAUUGUCUAGGCAGGAUCUCUGGGAAUCUGGCAGACAGCCACUUGCUUCUAAAAUCAUCAGAUCCUGCUUCAAUGGAACCCUGAAGUGCUGUUUAUCUGGGCUGUAAACAACCUUGUGAGCUGGAGAAAUUCCAGAAGGGAGUUCCUGUAUCACCCAAAUAAGUUUUGUUCCUCUCCUUUUAAUAAAAGCAAGUUGGUUUGA